rnacentral:rRNA from 1 species
UACGUAGGGAGCGAGCGUUAUCCGGAAUUAUUGGGCGUAAAGGGUGCGUAGACGGCAUAUUAAGUUUCUUGUAAAAAUUCUAGGCUCAACCUAGUCAAGCAAGAGAUACUGAUAAGCUAGAGUAUGGAAGAGGCAAGUGGAACUCCAUGUGUAGCGGUAAAAUGCGUAAAUAUAUGGAAGAACACCAGUGGCGAAGGCGGCUUGCUGGUCCGAUACUGACGUUGAGGCACGAAAGCGUGGGGAGCAAACA